UAGUGUUAUAGCUCUUUUAGAAUUUGUCUAGCAGGUUUUCCGGUUUUCAUCCAAAAACCCCC
ensembl:snRNA U7 U7 small nuclear RNA